rnacentral:rRNA from 1 species
UACGGAGGGUGCAAGCGUUGCUCGGAAUUAUUGGGCGUAAAGGGUAGGUAGGUGGUCUCAUUUGUCUGGGGUGAAAGCCUUGAGCUUAACUCGAGAAGUGCCCCAGAAACGGUGAGACUAGAGUCCUGGAGAGGGUCGUGGAAUUCCCGGUGUAGCGGUGAAAUGCGUAGAGAUCGGGAGGAACACCAGAAGCGAAGGCGGCGACCUGGACAGGCACUGACACUCACCUACGAAAGCGUGGGGAGCAAACAGG